GUCAGCAAUGGUUUAUCAUUCCUUACAGAUAUAAAUGAAAUAGCCUUAUGUAUCCUAACCUUCCCAACUUCUCACCUACAACAGUGGCCGCACCCGUCCCCAGUAUCAGCUUUUUUUGGUUUUGAACAUAUUAUUGAUAUUGCCGGUUCAAGAAUGACGGUCAAGUAAGAAUUGAGCAGACUGAUAUAUUUUCGAAAUUAUAGCUUUUUGGAGUUCUGACAUUAUGCGGAUAUUGUAUAAUAGUAUGUUAUAUUCUAUAAUUAUACUAUAUUUUUAAACUUGAUAAUUUUUGUAGUAGCCUAAUAGCCACGAUACUGCACGCGUAUGUGCUAUGCCGUACGUUUAUAAGACGCAGACAAUACAUACGGAUCACGUCCUUUAAAGAAAAUGCAGAAAAUACGGAAUUCUUACCUAAUCAGUUAUAUUAAUAGUUGCAGCUAAUCAUCUGGAAAAUGUAUUUAACAAAAGCUGCCUAAUCAAGUUUAUUAGACAUUUAGUAUUUAAGCCGUAAAUCAUGAAUGUGCUCCAAUGUACGAGACGAAUUCUAAUAAAAUCGAAUAAAUAUAUUUCCAUACAUAUCAAGAAUGGGGUUUUUUAUCGGGAGAAGGUCCGACAUUUUUGAUUUUCCCCCAUUAGUUAAGCAGAGAUUUUGUAGUGUGUACCGUGUGCUGCCGUUAUGCAGGCUAGAGGACAUAUUUGUUUUUUAAACAUAGUUUUCCUAUAGUAUAAUGAUAAAAUAAUGUUUAAAUACCACCUAUUAUACAGGAUUAACUUUGUUCAUAUAAUAUUUUAGCCUUUACUUUUUUAAAUACAAGUUUUCAUAUUCCCUACGGUACCUAAUCUAAUUCCAGUAAUAAAGACAAAUAUCGAACAAUAAAAUCUUUAUCUGUACUUAGCAGGCGUUGUGAUGAUGAUAACAUCUGGCCAUACACGAUUUUCCCAAGGGUUUUUAGAACAAAUCCGUUAAUAAUAGAACCGUAGAAAUCACAUAUUUGAAUCAAUGGUUCUCAAAAUAAUUAUUUGUUCUACAAAAUAUUACUAGUUAAAAUUACUUUGUAUAAGAACGGGUUUGAAAAUUACAAUACAAUCUAUAAAAUCUUUAUCUAUGUGCAGAUGCGCGUUUAAGCGUUUUUCGUAGAAAUUCCUAUGCACUCAAAGAUUGUUUUUCAAAUAAUAUUAAAACAAAUGGUUUUCAAAAUAAUAAGAUAAUGCGAGCCCACUACUAUACCUAAGCAAAUGAAAAUUCCGUUCAGAUCAGGGUCUAUAGUCGAUAGGUUUGAGCGAAGGAGAAAAAGUGUGAAAAAUAGAGAAGAGAGUAAAAAAGAGAGAAAAAGUAAAGGAAAAAAAGUGUACAGGUAAACGAAUAUUUUUCCAUAACUGUAUUUAUUGUAUUCCGUAUAUAUAGUAUAAUAUUAAAAUAAG